GACGAACGCUGGCGGCGUGCUUAACACAUGCAAGUCGAACGGUGAAGCGCCUUCCUUUUUGGUGGGUGUGGAUGAGUGGCGAACGGGUGAGUAACACGUGAGUAACCUGCCCCCUUCUUCUGGAUAACCGCAUGAAAGUGUGGCUAAUACGGGAUAUUCUGGGUCUGUCGCAUGAUGGGUCUGGGAAAGAUAUUGUUUCGGUGGGGGAUGGGCUCGCGGCCUAUCAGCUUGUUGGUGGGGUGAUGGCCUACCAAGGCGGUGACGGGUAGCCGGCCUGAGAGGGUGGACGGUCACACUGGGACUGAGACACGGCCCAGACUCCUACGGGAGGCAGCAGUGGGGAUUAUUGCACAAUGGGCGCAAGCCUGAUGCAGCGACGCCGCGUGAGGGAUGGAGGCCUUCGGGUUGUGAACCUCUUUCGCCAGUGAAGCAGGCCUGCCUCGUUUGUGGGUGGGUUGACGGUAGCUGGAUAAGAAGCGCCGGCUAACUACGUG
rnacentral:rRNA from 1 species